UUUUGGUUGAUUUUUUGUGAAUGUUCUUAAAGAAAAUAUUAGAAGUUUUACUGAUUGAUCUGUAGUCACUUUAGAUAUUUUUAGGAUUUUUUGGGGAAGAUUUUUACUCAUUUUUUGAAAAUAUUUACAAGAAUCUAGCCAAAUUUGGGGGAAUUUUUAAAAUCAAACCUUUAAGGGAAUCUUUUAAGGAAUUAUUGGAAUUUUCUUCCUGAAGGUUUUGAAAUUUUUCAGAAAUUUGGGGGAUUUUUUUUUGCUCAUUUUUUGGAUUGUUUUCAGACAAGGAAACAAUAUUUUUUGGUGCCCGUAAAUGAGGACAACAGGAGGGUUAAUGGAUGAUUGAGCUGCAUUUAUAAAAAAACGUGGAGCUGUGUGACGUUUGAUCCAGAAAACCCGUUCAGUUUGCUGCUAGAUUUAUCAAGCAGCAAAAUCAGUCAGACAGUUCAGAGAAGUAACAAAUAUUUACAGUACCGUUCAAAAGUUUGGGGUCAUCCAGACAAGUUCAUGUUUUCCAUGAAAACUCACACAUUUAUUCAUGUGCUAACAUAAUUGCACAAGGGUUUUCUAAUCAUCAAUUAGCCUUUCAACACCAUGAGCUAACACAAAAUCAGCCGUUUCCAGCUAGAAUAGUCAUUUACCACAUUAACGAUGUCUACACUGGAUUUCUGAUUAAUGUUACCUUCAGUGAAAAAAACUGCUUUUCUUUCAAAAUAAAGACAUUUCUAAGUGACCCCAGACUUUUGAACAGUAGUGUACAUAUUUUGUAAUUUCAACAGCAAGCCGUUUUUCUUUAAAUCAGCAGAUGAUUCACAAAAUCCACAGUAAAUACUAUUUUACUGCAUUUUCACAGGAGCAGAGAAUCUGAUCCAAACUUUCUGAACAUGUGAACAUGUAGCAACAAGCGUCUGUUCUAGUAGAGAAACUCAAAAUCAGUGAAAUAUGUUAACAUGAGACUAAAGCUGUACAUAUUUGAAGCAUGUUGAUAAUAGACUGUACAUACUUUCUGUAGAAGACUGUAAAAAAGCCAAGAUGUUGGAGAAUUUUAAUAUGUUUAUAUUAUUAUGGACUACUGUGGUAAGAUUUAAUAAAGAUGAUAUAUGAUGUG
ensembl:lncRNA